rnacentral:rRNA from 1 species
AGAGUUUGAUCAUGGCUCAGAUUGAACGCUGGCGGCAGGCCUAACACAUGCAAGUCGAACGGUAACAGGAAACAGCUUGCUGUUUCGCUGACGAGUGGCGAACGGGUGAGUAAUGUCUGGGAAACUGCCUGAUGGAGGGGGAUAACUACUGGAAACGGUAGCUAAUACCGCAUAACGUCGCAAGACCAAAGAGGGGGACCUUCGGGCCUCUUGCCAUCGGAUGUGCCCAGAUGGGAUUAGCUUGUUGGUGGGGUAACGGCUCACCAAGGCGACGAUCCCUAGCUGGUCUGAGAGGAUGACCAGCCACACUGGAACUGAGACACGGUCCAGACUCCUACGGGAGGCAGCAGUGGGGAAUAUUGCACAAUGGGCGCAAGCCUGAUGCAGCCAUGCCGCGUGUAUGAAGAAGGCCUUCGGGUUGUAAAGUACUUUCAGCGGGGAGGAAGGGAGUAAAGUUAAUACCUUUGCUCAUUGACGUUACCCGCAGAAGAAGCACCGGCUAACUCCGUGCCAGCAGCCGCGGUAAUACGGAGGGUGCAAGCGUUAAUCGGAAUUACUGGGCGUAAAGCGCACGCAGGCGGUUUGUUAAGUCAGAUGUGAAAUCCCCGGGCUCAACCUGGGAACUGCAUCUGAUACUGGCAAGCUUGAGUCUCGUAGAGGGGGGUAGAAUUCCAGGUGUAGCGGUGAAAUGCGUAGAGAUCUGGAGGAAUACCGGUGGCGAAGGCGGCCCCCUGGACGAAGACUGACGCUCAGGUGCGAAAGCGUGGGGAGCAAACAGGAUUAGAUACCCUGGUAGUCCACGCCGUAAACGAUGUCGACUUGGAGGUUGUGCCCUUGAGGCGUGGCUUCCGGAGCUAACGCGUUAAGUCGACCGCCUGGGGAGUACGGCCGCAAGGUUAAAACUCAAAUGAAUUGACGGGGGCCCGCACAAGCGGUGGAGCAUGUGGUUUAAUUCGAUGCAACGCGAAGAACCUUACCUGGUCUUGACAUCCACGGAAGUUUUCAGAGAUGAGAAUGUGCCUUCGGGAACCGUGAGACAGGUGCUGCAUGGCUGUCGUCAGCUCGUGUUGUGAAAUGUUGGGUUAAGUCCCGCAACGAGCGCAACCCUUAUCCUUUGUUGCCAGCGGUCCGGCCGGGAACUCAAAGGAGACUGCCAGUGAUAAACUGGAGGAAGGUGGGGAUGACGUCAAGUCAUCAUGGCCCUUACGACCAGGGCUACACACGUGCUACAAUGGCGCAUACAAAGAGAAGCGACCUCGCGAGAGCAAGCGGACCUCAUAAAGUGCGUCGUAGUCCGGAUUGGAGUCUGCAACUCGACUCCAUGAAGUCGGAAUCGCUAGUAAUCGUGGAUCAGAAUGCCACGGUGAAUACGUUCCCGGGCCUUGUACACACCGCCCGUCACACCAUGGGAGUGGGUUGCAAAAGAAGUAGGUAGCUUAACCUUCGGGAGGGCGCUUACCACUUUGUGAUUCAUGACUGGGGUGAAGUCGUAACAAGGUAACCGUAGGGGAACCUGCGGUUG